rnacentral:rRNA from 1 species
UAUGGCUGUACCACCCUGAAUGCAUCUGAUCUCUGAAGCUAAGCAGGGUUGGGCCUGUUUAGUACUUGGAUGGUGAAACACUGGUCCAUUU